AUGAACUGUGAGAUCAUGAACUGAGCCGAAAUCAGGAGUUGGACACUUAAACGACUGAGCCACCCAGGCACCCGUACAUUUAUAUUCUUUAAUUUGAAAGAUAAGUGGUAUCUUGGCUAAGAGAAAAAUGUAUCAUCCAUCAUAAUUUAAUUAACUCUUAAAAACAAAACUGUGCCUUGUUAUUAAAACAGAAGAACAAGUUGGCCAUUUGUUAACGGUGAUGUGGUAAUGUGAAAUAAGGACACAGGAGACAAGGAAGGCUGACAAUCAUUAAUUCUGCUCAUAUUAUAGUAACUGAGCUUUGUUGAUACUUUGGUGUAAAGGAACUAAAAAGACCAUCUAGAGCUGAGUUUGAGACUGGUUUGCGGGGCAAAGAAGAACGGGGAGAGCAACAGAGAGCUCCUGGGCUCACUAUAAUCUUAUAGUCACAGCCAUUUUCAUCAGUUGAUUUGUUGGCAAACACUAACGCUUUGUUUUAUAAAUACACUAUAGAGUGAUAGGUUACAGUGUCAAAAAUAAAGGGCCAAAUGCCCAUAGCUAAAUGUGAAAACCGCAUACAACUUAGAACCACAGUUACUGAACUUACAUAAAUGUGGACUUGAUCAGAUGACUUUAGAUGACUCCUGAGACAAUAAAGACCCAGAAAACAAUUUACGUCACAUCUCUGAAUCACUCAAAGAAACCUUGAAACUUGGGACAUAGUUUACUUAGCGUGUCCUUUUUAAAAUUGUCAGUUUUGAAAGAGUAAACAUUAAUCAUCUUGACAUCUCUACACUCAAGGAAAUCCUCAUGGUUUCUUGACAGGAUACAAUAUAGGAGGCUACCUCAUUUACAAAACAGAUGAUUUCAAAUUUUUGUUAGUAUGUUAGAAAGACAUUGGGAAUGAAAUCAAACCUUUCUAAGUACUUGAUCCUGAUGGUCCACCUACCUCAGCUUUCAGUGUCCAACUAAAAGCCCUGCUUAAUCAAUUCUUGCUUAAUCAGAAAGGAGCUAGUGGUGAUUCUGAGAUCGAAAGGCAAGGGAGUCCAAGUAGUAAAGGGGGCCACGAUAUCAGUAAAAUUUCUUAAGUGCUUUGUUCUGACAAGUGGCUAUAAGAAGAACAAAAAAAAAAGGAAUAUUAACCAAUGUGCCCUGUGGAUAAUCUGAAACAGAAAAACUGGAGAAAUUUAUAAUUGCUAUAUAAUAAUGAACACUUAACUAAAAUGCUUCACUAGUGGCUUUUCAAAUUCUACUGGCAGCUCGACGAUGAACUCUUGUUUUCAUUUGUUUUCUUUGGCAGGAAAAUGGAUGAUCACUGACAACAGAUUAUAUGCUUGUGCCUUACUUAACCUUACAGCUUACAUGUUAAACUCCUGUCAGAGGCACCCCUUUCCUAGUGGAACAGGGACCACUGGAGUUUUUAAAAAUGCUGUCAUUGAGUGUGGCAACAGUGAAGGAGUUAACUCCCAAGUUCCUAAUCUAAUUAAAGAUGUUUCUAGCCUUUCAGUAUGCAUGUUGUAAGAAAAGUAUUUUGGAGUUGAAUGUCACUAACCAUGCAUAUUGUAGGAACUAUCAAUAUAAAUUAACAUUAUAAUUAAGUCUGUGAUAAUAUUUUGGAGCCUCUGAUGUAUAACUUUUAUUCUUUACCAGAUAAUACUUUUCAGUAUCUGUCCAUAUUAGAAGAGUCAUUCCGUUAAAUAUCUUAAAUGUGGGUAAGCACAAAAACAUUUUCUAUUAUGAUAUUCUCUAAAUGUAGUCUUCUGUAGUAUGUUCUGAUAUGCUAGAAAGUUAAUGGGUCAAAGUAUCUUUCAUAAUUCAGUCUAUAUUGUAAGAGUAUGUCAGGGACUGAGAGUUUCAUGAGUGCUGUUUUUUGAUCCCAUACAAUGAGCACACUAUAUAUUUGGUGCCUUUUUUUCCUACCAAAGAAAGAUUAGGUCAAAACUGGUGCUAAAUUUCAUGUUCCUUCCAAAAUUAUUUUUUCUUUUUAAAUAUAACACAAUAGGAGAGGUGUAGAUCCAGCAGUAUUAUGCAUGUUGUAUUUUGUAUAUACAUCUAAGGAAAAAAACCUCACCUAAAAACUAGUAUCUACUUAGAGGUAUAUGAUUUUUGUUAACACAUAAGGCUUCCAAGUGUAAAACUGGUAGGAAAAUAAUCACUAAAUGAAAACUUAGUAAUGAACAUAGCCCCCCAAGGUAAUAACUUUAAGGAAGAGGUCCCGUACAAUGCUAUAUGUCAAUUAUAUCUCAGUUAAAAAAUACAAAAGUCCCUUAUCAAUGUUUCUAGCACAAAGUUAGCUAUUCAAAGUAUUCUGUAACUCUGAGAGGGUACAGAGAAAAUUUUAUGUAUGUUUCUUCGUGUAUCUAUAUUUACAUAUGUACAAAAUAGCUUUCUGAUAAGCUUAUUUUAAGUAGAUAUUUUAAGCUAUUUUUCAGGCUAAAAUUUGAGUUUGGGGAGUCAUCAAUCUCAAAACUUGGACAAUGAGUUACAUUAAAAUAAAUUCUCACUGAAAGUAUCAUUGUUCAUCUUUCAGAUUUAACAAAGAAUUGAGUAAGGACCACAUCUGGGUGUCAGCAAACCUCAAAUCUAUGAUUUAUUAAGGGUUCUCAGCAUUUCAUGGUUGUAGCCAAUUGUAUGAUACCCACCUAAAAUUCCACAUGGAUCUCUGAGUUUUAAUGUCUCGUAAGUAGGAUUCAGAUGAAGUGAGGACAACAGGUUUUUAUUUAAUCCUGCUGACUUUUGUAGACUGCCUUAACUAUGAGCAUUUUAUAAAUGUAAAUUAGGAAAAUGGUGCACUAUAGAAAAUUAGGAAGACCAUACUAGAGUAUACUGGAUUCUCUGCUAACUAACGGUAACUCCUUUCUACUGUUAACAUGAGUUAAAUGUGGAGGGGAGAAUGGGGACUUGUUCAUCAGAAGUCACUGUACAGUGAGAUUAAAUAUCCCUUCAGUAACUUCUGAUGUAACUUAAUUUAUUGUGAUUGGAGAACUGUACGUUUUGCAAAGGCACUGCACAAUGCUUGAUAAAUUUGCAUUUUGUCAGUUUGUUCUCCGAUCGGUUUAUUUUAGCCUGAAAGUUGGAGCCACAACAAACAGAACCCUACAGUUUUAAGAGACAGCUUGGAUAUUUUAAGUAUCUCCUCAUAUAAUGUGACAUUUUUCAUGUCAACUUAUUUUAAUGUUUAUCUCAAAAAGCAAUUUUUAAAUUAUUUGCAUGUUUUCAAAGUUAGAAAAACAUGCCUUAUCUUAGACCUCAAAACCAAAUUAUUCCAAGUGCACACUGUGCCCCAGAGCGUGGCUCUGCUUCUCUACCUACACAGGAUGCCAUUUUUGGCACAGUAGUUGUUUUAAGUGCAGAUCACUAUGUGAAAUGAUUAUGCUGGAUUUGAUCAGUAUGCAGUAUUUUAGUAUUUGCCUUUAAAAACUGUUUUUUUUUUCUUUUUAAGGAGUAUAAUUUAUAAUUGAUUUUUUUUAUAAUGUGCAGUUUCAUAUAGAUAAGCAAAUCCUUUUUAAUGAAAAGAGCUUUGUAAUCAUUUGGAGAAGAAAAUCGUUUACUGUGGAACAAUGUGAUAUUCUCAGUAAAUACAAUAAAAAAAUUCUAGCAAAUUUC